CCUACGGGAGGCAGCAGUGAGGAAUAUUGGGCAAUGGGCGCGAGCCUGAACCAGCCAAGUAGCGUGAAGGAUGACUGCCCUAUGGGUUGUAAACUUCUUUUAUAGGGGAAUAAAGUGCAGUAUGUAUACAGCUUUGCAUGUACCGUAUGAAUAAGGAUCGGAUAACGCCGUGCCAGCAGCCGCGGUAAUACGGAGGAUCCGAGCGUUAUCCGGAUUUAUUGGGUUUAAAGGGAGCGUAGGCGGGUUGUUAAGUCAGUUGUGAAAGUUUGCGGCUCCACCGUAAAAUUGCAGUUGAUACUGGCAUCCUUGAGUACAGUAGAGGUAGGCGGACUUC
rnacentral:rRNA from 1 species